rnacentral:rRNA from 1 species
AACGAACGCUGGCGGCAUGCCUAAUACAUGCAAGUCGAACGAGCCCUUCGGGGUUAGUGGCGCACGGGUGCGUAACGCGUGGGAAUCUGCCCUUGGGUUCGGAAUAACGUUUGGAAACGAACGCUAAUACCGGAUGAUGACGUAAGUCCAAAGAUUUAUCGCCCAAGGAUGAGCCCGCGUAGGAUUAGCUAGUUGGUGAGGUAAAGGCUCACCAAGGCGACGAUCCUUAGCUGGUCUGAGAGGAUGAUCAGCCACACUGGGACUGAGACACGGCCCAGACUCCUACGGGAGGCAGCAGUAGGGAAUAUUGGACAAUGGGGGCAACCCUGAUCCAGCAAUGCCGCGUGAGUGAUGAAGGCCUUAGGGUUGUAAAGCUCUUUUACCCGGGAUGAUAAUGACAGUACCGGGAGAAUAAGCCCCGGCUAACUCCGUGCCAGCCGCCGCCGUAAAAC